GUUAAGCCUUCCCCCAAAGCCUCUAGUGGCUGUCUCAUUGACAACCACUAGAGGCGCUUGCGUGCUUCUCACUGUGAUUUUCACAGUGAGAGCACGCCAGCGUCCAUAGGAAAGCAUUGUAAAUGCUUCCCUAUGCGACCGGCUGAAUGCGCGCGCAGCUCUUGCCGCGCGUGCGCAUUCAGCCGACGGGGCGGAACGGAGGAGGAGAGAAGGAGGAGAGCUCUCCGCCCAGCAC